AAAAUAAGCUGCUUUAAAGCCAGCAUUGACCAUAAACUACAUCUCCCAUAAUGCAUGUUGAUUGUGGAUGGGAAUUACCUGCUGGAAAGUGUGAGAGUUCAGAAUUAGACUUAACACAACUUAACAAACUGUAAAGGAGUCCCAUCGAGAAGAACACGAGAAAGAAACAAGCGGCCGAUAAAAAGUGAAAUCUGAGGAAACUGRAGGAACAAAGACGAAGUGGAGGACAAAAACUGCAGGGUUGGGGGGGAUGAGUCAGACAAACGGAGGGAAACAAAGCAGCAGGCAGGAACCUGCGGGGAUGACACGCUCAUCGGGUGGAAACCAGACCCUGCAACCGGAGCUUCUGCAGCCUGCUGACUGACAACAGGCACUCAGCUACUGUGUGUGUGUGUGUGUGUGUGUGUGUGUGUGUGUGUGUGUGUGUGUGUGUGUGUGUGNGUGUGUGUG